UCGUUCACUCUUGUGUUCCUU
rnacentral:piRNA from 1 species